rnacentral:rRNA from 1 species
UGGCUCAGGAUGAACGCUGGCGGCGUGCUUAACCAAUGCAAGUCGAACGGUGAAAGAGAGCUUGCUCUCUGGAUCAGUGGCGAACGGGUGAGUAACACGUGAGCAACCUGCCCCGGACUCUGGGAUAACAGCUGGAAACAGCUGCUAAUACCGGAUACGAGCUGCGAAGGCAUCUUCAGCAGCUGGAAAGAAUUUCGGUCCGGGAUGGGCUCGCGGCCUAUCAGCUAGUUGGUGAGGUAAUGGCUCACCAAGGCGUCGACGGGUAGCCGGCCURAGAGGGUGACCGGCCACACUGGGACUGAGACACGGCCCAGACUCCUACGGGAGGCAGCAGUGGGGAAUAUUGCACAAUGGGCGAAAGCCUGAUGCAGCAACGCCGCGUGAGGGAUGACGGCCUUCGGGUUGUAAACCUCUUUUAGCAGGGAAGAAGCGAAAGUGACGGUACCUGCAGAAAAAGCGCCGGCUAACUACGUGCCAGCAGCCGCGGUAAUACGUAGGGCGCAAGCGUUAUCCGGAAUUAUUGGGCGUAAAGAGCUCGUAGGCGGUUUGUCGCGUCUGCUGUGAAAACCCGAGGCUCAACCUCGGGCCUGCAGUGGGUACGGGCAGACUAGAGUGCGGUAGGGGAGAUUGGAAUUCCUGGUGUAGCGGUGGAAUGCGCAGAUAUCAGGAGGAACACCGAUGGCGAAGGCAGAUCUCUGGGCCGUAACUGACGCUGAGGAGCGAAAGGGUGGGGAGCAAACAGGCUUAGAUACCCUGGUAGUCCACCCCGUAAACGUUGGGAACUAGUUGUGGGGUCCAUUCCACGGAUUCCGUGACGCAGCUAACGCAUUAAGUUCCCCGCCUGGGGAGUACGGCCGCAAGGCUAAAACUCAAAGGAAUUGACGGGGACCCGCACAAGCGGCGGAGCAUGCGGAUUAAUUCGAUGCAACGCGAAGAACCUUACCAAGGCUUGACAUAUACGAGAACGGGCCAGAAA